CUCAGACAUUUAAAAAGAAGUAAUUUAAACUUUGGUUGAAUUCUCAUAAAAAAAUGAACCUUCAAACAUUUUUAUUCCACAGUGGAAACACUAUAUUCAAUGUGAUGGGAGUCCUGAUCCUUCAAUAGCCCAAGAAAUAAAUACUUUCAUUAGCUUGUGGAAAGAGGAAACAAAUCAGACUUUUAUGGAGGUGGUUGAGAAAAGUAAAUUAGUUCUACGUGUAAGUAUUUAAGAAUUGUCCUAUAAUAUAAAUUAAGUUACAAGAAUUCUGAUGUUAACUCCAAAAAUAAAAAAUUACUAUAUUAUUUGCCAGUUAGUAACACUAUUACUUCUAAACCCUUGGGUAUAGAGAGAGAUUUGGUAAACUUUUCACUUUCUUUUUAUAACUCUUAACAUUCUUUAUAUAAAGACAACAUAAAUGAGAAACAAUUUUCUGAGCCAGAAAAAAAAAUCAAGUUGUAUGCAUUUAUGUAGAUAACUUGGGUAUAGAUGGGUGACUUUUGUCCUCAGCUAGUAUCAUCUACUGUUAUGGUUUGUAUCUUAAUGUCUCCUGAAAGCCUGUAUGCUAAAGGCUUGGGUGGUCACUACAGCACUAUUGAGAGGUAUUGGAACCUUUAGAAAGUGAGGUCUAGUAGAAGGAAGUUAGGUCACUGAGGGUGUGCUAUUGAAGGGGAUAUAGGGACCCUGGCCCCUUCCUCUCUUGCUCUGGGUCCCAGCUGCAAUGAGGUGAGCACCUUUGUUCCACAAAUUGUUCCCUGCCAUAAUAUUCUACUAUAGGCCCAAAAGGAAUGGGACCAAGGGACUGUGAAUUUCAAGAAACCUCUGAAACUAUGAGCCAAAAUAAAUCUUUUAUCCUUAUAAAUUGAUUUUCUGAUAUUUUGUCACAAUGAUAUAAAUCUGAUUAACACAUCUACUAUUCAGUAAUUCAGUACCCAUAAUCUUUAAUGUUUACUAGAAGCCAGGUCUCUGCUCUCAGGUGCUGGGGGUGCGAAGAUGAAUAACAGUAUCCUAACUUCUUCUUUUGCUAAUAGAAUAGAUAGGUUAGCCUAUGAAGCUUCUACUUUACAAUGCACUUAAAAAUACUGUGAAACAAUAUUUUUAAAGUGAAGUUGGAAGAAUUUACCAGAAGAAAAUCAAGGAGGGAGAAAAUAUGAAAGAGUAGUUAACAGACAUGUAUAAUGGAGUAAAACAGACUAAAAACAGGGAAGAGUACAAGAAGGCAAUAAAGACUGGUAGAUAGGCAAUAUUCAAUGAGACAAUGGCUGACAAUUUUCUUGAACUGAAUGAUAUGAUUCUUCAAAUCCCAAGAAAGAAGAGAAACUUUUUUUUUUUUUUUAAGUACGUCCAAUACUCUGAAACCAGUACUCUGUGUGUGAGGUUUCUCAUACCAACUUAUAUCUUCUGCUCUUUGGGCACCAAUCAGGCAUCCUACAAUUCAAUGCUGACACUACCUAGAGUUGGCACAGGAGUCCUACUCUGUCCCACAAGUCUGUACCCCACUUCUAUCAUAAAUCCUAGGUUGCCACCUGUACUUUACAGAAACCAGCUAUAAGUAGGGUUCCCAUACCUCUUUCUCAGGUGUGGUAACUUACUAUAGUGGUUCUCAAAAUGUAGGCAAAUGUUUACUUUUGCUUACUAGCCUAUUAUGGAGGAUAUUAGGAUAUGGAAUAAAGAGUUGUGUAAAGAAAUACAUAAGGCAAGGUAUGUGGGAAGGGUUGUGGACAUUCCAUAACCUCUUUAGGUGUGUACGCCAAUCCCAGAGCUCUCAGAACCCCAUUGUUUAGGGUUUUUAUGGAGGCCCCAUUUCAUGGCAUGAUUGAUUAAGUCAUUGACCAUUGGUGAUUAAGUCAAUCUCCAGUUCCUCUCUCUUCCCUUGAGGUUAAGGAGUAGAGCUAAAAUUUCUAACCUUAAAGUGACCUUGUUUCCUCUGACAACCAGCCCCCAUCCUCCAAGAGUCACCACACUAGCAUAAACUCACUAGCAUAAACACACUAGCAUAAAGUUGAAGAGAACUUACUAUGAAAAACAAAAGCAAUUCCUCUAGACCUUUUCUGUCAGUCAGGGAUUUAGAAGCUGUAUGCCAGGAACCAAGAGUGGGGGAUGAACAAAAAAAGUCUAGAAAGUCCUUGAUUCUGAGGCAACUUCUAAGGUCUUCCAAUUCCUUUGAACACAAAUGUGCUCAGCAUGACAAAGAUUAUACUUUGGGGUAUGGUAUUCUGAGCUCCAACAUCCCUAAGGACCCUCCCCUGAGUUAUUUGAAUGCUAAUGUAUUCAUCACACAGUGUUCUUACCACUGUACACCCUCUCUAUCAGGGAAGUUGCCAGGCAUGAUCCUGGUUCAGGAAUCUGGUUCUUGGAAAUUAGCAGGGAGAUGGUAAGAAGGAAUGUUAGAGUCUACCAGUGAUAAGCUGGGUGGAGGGACAUCUUCCUGUGACAGAAUGUGGACUAUGGAAGUACAAGUAACAAAUGGUAGGAAAGAUGGAAAAAGGGUAAGUAGAACAAGAGACAGAAGAAGAGAGUCUUCACAGCUUCAGGAAAUAAAGCAGGAAGCUACCAGAGGUAGCUUGAAAAGAGUUGAAUAGCUAUACCAGAAGCACCUCAUGGUAAAUGCCAAUUUCCAAAUCAUGUUUAUUUAACAAACUCUCAUACAUGGCGUAAUCUGUACCAUGAAGUUGGGACCAUUAGCAACAUUUUACAAACAAUGAAGCUAAAGCACAGAGAUGUUAAAUAAUUUGUCAAGUCUUACUACUAGUAAGAGGUGGUUAGGAUUAGACUAUGGUGUUACAUUUCUUUAAAAAAAAUUAGUUGUAGAUAGACACAAUACCUUUAUUUUUAAUGUGGUGCUGAGGAUCAAACCUAGUGCCUCAUAUCUGGUAGGCAGGCGCUCUAUCACUGAUUUACAGUCCCAGCCCCUGCUGCAUCUCUUAAUUCAGAAAUUUUCUGUAUGUAUCUCUGUCAGUGCUCAAAAUUAAGUUCUGCUACUUACUAAUUCCUUGAUCAUCCAAGGCCUUGGUAUCCUCAUCUGUAUAAUAGACACAAUAAUACCUACUUCAUAUAAUUAUGAUAAAGAAUAAAUUAAAACUACAUGGCAUUUAGAACAAUUUCUAGAACAUAGUAUUCAGUAUUGGUAGUUUUCCUCCUCUUCUCCUUUGCCCCCUUGUUAUUGUCAUACUUUUUGUUAUUUAUUAAUUAUUAACAUGGUUUGGAUGUGGUCUGUCCCCAAAGUUUAAUGUACUGGAAGCUUGGUGCCUAGUGUUGUGCUACUGUGAGUUUUUUUCUUUUUAAUUAUUCUUAGUUAUACAUGACAAUAGACUCUUUUUUUUAUAUACUUAUAUAAACAUGGAAUAUAUCUUAUUCUAAUUAGAACAGACAUGAUGCCAGUUCAUGAAUCUGGAUCUUGGCAAUUAUCUGGGAGGUGGUGAGUUAUGUCUGAUUAAUUUCACUGUCUUUCCUAUUCCUAUUCCCCCUUCCCUUCCCUUCUUUCUCCUCUGUCUAAUCCAUUUAACCUUCUAUUCUUCCCCUCCCUACCUUGUUGUGAGUUAGCAUCCACAUAUCAGGAGAACAUUUGGCCUUUGGUUUUUUAGGAUUGGUUUAUUUCACUUAGCAUGAUAGUCUCUAGAUCCAUCUAUUUAUUAGCAAAUAUCAUAAAGUCAUUCUUAUUUAUGACUGAGUAAUAUUCCAUGUGUAUAUGUAUCAAAACAAUUUUUAAUCUAUUCAUCUGUUGAAGGGCACCCAGGUUGGUUCCAUAGUUUAGCUAUUGUGAAUUGAGCUGCUUUAAACAUUGAUGUGGCCACAUCACUAUACUAUGCUGAGUUUAAGUCCUUUGGGUAUUUGCUGAAGAUUGAUAUAACUGUGUCAAAUGGUGAUUCCAUUCCUAGUUUUUUGAGUAAUCUCCAUACUGCUUUCCAGAGCAAUUGCACCAAUUUUCAGGCUCAUCAGCAAUGUAAGAGUUGACCCUUUUUCCUCACAUCCUUGCCAACAUUUAUUGUUAUUUAUAUUCUUGAAAAUUGCUAUUCUGACUAGAGUAAGGUGAAAUCUCAGUGCAGUUUUAGUUUGCAUAGCUCUAAGUGCUACAGAUGAUGUUGUAUAUUUUUUCACAUAUUUGUUACUAUUUUUUCUUUUGAGAAAUGGCUGUUUAGUUUCUUUUCCCAUUUAUUGAUUGGGUUAUUUGUUUUUUGAAUAUCCUGGAAAUUAACAUCUUAUCUGAGGUGCAGGUGACAAAGAUUUUCUCCCAUUCUGUAGGCUCUCUUUUCAUGGUCUUGAUUGUUUACUUUGCUGUGAAACUUUUUAGUUUGACACCAUCCCAUUUACUGGUUUUUUAUUUUACCUUUUAUACUUCAGGAAUCUUGUUGAGGAAGUUAGUUCUCAAGCUGACAUGUUGAAGUGUUGGGCCUACCUUCUAGUAAGUUUCUAGGUUGCUGGUCUAAUACCUAGGUCUUUGAUCCAUUUUGAGUUGAGUUUUGUGCAGAUAGGGGUUAAAUUUUAUUCUACUACAUUUGGAUUUCCAGUUUCCCUAGCACCAUUUGUUGAAGGUGGUAAGCUUUUUAAGAGGUGAGGUAUAGUAGAAGGUAAUUAGGUCAUGAGAGCUCCAUCAUCUUAAAAGGAUUAAUGUGUUCUUGAAGGAGUUGGUCUGGUCUCAUGGGAGUGGAUUAGUCCUCUUGAGAAUAGUUUGUUAUAAGUGAUCAUGGCACCACCUCUGACUCCCUUCUUUGUGUGUGCCAUUCUUAUACAUGUUUCCACCAUUGUGAGGCCAUUAUUAAAAUGGAGCAGAUGCUGGUGCCAUGUUCCUGAACCUAUGUGAGCUAAAUAAACUACUUCUCUUUUAAAAAGUACCCAGCCUUGGGUAUUCUGUUUUAGCAAUACAAACUACACUAACAUAUUCCUAUUGUUUCAGAGUCUUAAAGAAGUCAAAAUUUUUCAUUAUUUGUCAUUUUGCUAAUGAAAGCUCUAUUAUACUUAGUGGAGAAUAUUUAAAAGGGAGUUUGGGAGGAAAUAUUUUUAUGAUCUUAAAUUAUAGAAUGAAUACAGAAAGGAUUUCUACAUGUUUCACUGAGGAUAAAAAGUUUCUCAAUCCAAAAGUGAUAUAACAUCCCCCUUUUACUUUUAAUUUGACUAUUUGUCAGUGGAUUAAUGUAAAUAUUCUUUAUAUUACAGCUAAUUGAAAAGUUGAAAUUGAUUUUAAUGGAAACUCCACCAUUUGAUUUGCAAGAACAAAAUGUAAUACAAUACCAAGGAUCAAUUCUACAACUUCAGGAGCUCCUUCAUCUUAAGUUUAACAAAGCCACAGAAAUACUUCUCAGAGUAUGUGUGAACUUUCCAAAUAAUCCUAACAUUUAAAAACAUUAAAAUUUUGUACUAUACAAUAAAAUAAUUCAAUUUUCUUAAAAUAUUAAAAGGGUAUGGAAAAAUUAGGAUAACUUGAAGCACACAUAUUUAAUGCAGAUUUAGUAACUGUUAACAUUUUUAAAGAAAUAUCAUCGAUAUAACUGAAGUCAAUUUUCUGAUACAUGCCAAGGUUUACUAAGUUCACUAUGAAAAUAAGUUUACAAAACAGUAUUAGAAAUUCACUUUGAGUAAAUCAUUUGGCACAAGAUUACAAGUAUUGAUAUUCUAUUUUUCUCUAACUUUUUAUUUUAAAAGCACUAUAUUUGAAUGUGAAAUUUGAAGAAUAGUACCAUGAAUCCCCAAAUACUCGCUAUGUCGAUCUAAUUCAUUUUUUAUCUUUACUGAGCUAUAAUUGAUAUGUAUUAAAACCAAUAAUAUUUAAAUGUCUGGUAGUAUUCUUUAUCUCUAUAUUUUCUUUACCAUUUGAAAAUUGUUGUU
rnacentral:lncRNA from 1 species